GAGCUUUUAAAGGACUAUCAAUCAUUGCAAGGCAUUACGAAACAUUACGAGCGUCUUACGAUGGUUCACGAAGUCUACGAAGAGGUACGAAGGUACACGAGAACGACGUUUACGAUGAAACGAAGAAACCUAAAGAAAGACAACCGCGGGAAGCAAAUUUUUUCAUUUUUUUAACGUUGAUAUUAAAUUUGGGUCGAGUUUUAAACGUAAACAUUCACAAUUUAGGGUAAAAUAUUGGAAAAUUCAAGACCCUAGCUAGCCCUUUUAGCUCUUCACGAUUCACGGCACGCAUAUUAAUCACGAUUCACGGAAUGUUAUUUCUUCAAAUGACGAAUCACGAAUAAUUGCUAAUCACGAG